GCAUUUUUCAUCUCUACAGAGCUAACAGCAGGCGCCAACGAGUAUGUUACAUUGGCAGUCGAGAUAUCAGCAGUCGUCUUUAACAUCCCUGCAAAACUCGAAUGACCGAAACUAGAACACAUUCACAGAAAUUUUCGAAUGUCACUAAUACAUAAAUAGUACAUGUGAGAAUUCGCUAUGAAAAAAUCUUAGAAUGAAACAACAUCUUAUAAUUUUUGAACUGCUUUAUAAUAUCUUAUUCACUCGCACACGUUGCAUGCAUAUGGAUAGUGAAAUUUCGCGGAAAGAAAAAUGAACAAAACACAGCAAUCGUGACUUGCAAUUAAUUUGUGAAUUGUGCGGCUUGGCGUUCAGCCAUUUAAAUAAAAAUUUAUUUCAGCGGUGGGAAAUAAAAACUUUGUGUGCCUUCGUUCCAAUCUUACAAUUGCAAUUACAAAAUUGUGCGGCUCGGCGUUCGAGCAUUUUUAUAAAGAUUUCAGCGGUGGAAAUUAAGCGUUGUGUGCCUUUGUUUCAAACUUACAAGUCCAGCCCAGUUUUUGUGUGCAGCAUUUUCGUUCGGUGGUUUAAACUUGGCCAGGUGUCGUGACCCUAUUAAUUUGUCCGGGACUAUAUAUAAAUCUGUAUGCAUAAAUCUAUGAUUUUUAAACAUGGAAUUUUUUAAUUAAGACGCUUACUGAAUCUUGUGAAUACCCUAAAUACAUAAAUUUGAACUUACUAAGUACAAAUAAAUGUAUUAAAAUAAAAAAGUACA